rnacentral:rRNA from 2 species
UACGAAGGGGGCUAGCGUUGUUCGGAAUUACUGGGCGUAAAGCGCACGUAGGCGGAUUGACAAGUCAGGGGUGAAAUCCCGGGGCUCAACCUCGGAACUGCCUUUGAUACUGUUAGUCUAGAGUCCGGAAGAGGUGGGUGGAAUUCCUAGUGUAGAGGUGAAAUUCGCAGAUAUUAGGAAGAACACCGGUGGCGAAGGCGGCCCACUGGUCCGGAACUGACGCUGAGGUGCGAAAGCGUGGGGAGCAAACAGG